rnacentral:rRNA from 1 species
AUUGAACGCUGGCGGCAGGCCUAACACAUGCAAGUCGAACGAGUGGCGGACGGGAGAGUAAUGUCUGGGAAACCGCCUGAUGGAGGGGGAUCACUACUGGAAACGGUAGCUAAUCCCGCAUAACAUCAGAUGUGCCCAGGUGGGAUUAGCUAGUAGGUGGGGUAACCGCUCACCUAGGCGACGAUCCCUAGCUGGUCUGAGAGGAUGACCGGCGACACUGGAACUGAGACACGGUCCAGAGUACUACGGGAGGCAGCAGUGGGGAAUAUUGCACAAUGGGCGCAAGCCUGAUGCAGCCAUGCCGCGUGUGUGAAGAAGGCCUUCGGGUUGUAAAGCACUUUCAGCGGGGAGGCGUUACCCGCAGAAGAAGCACCGGCUAACUCCGUGCCAGCCGCCGCGGUAAUAC